AUUACGUCGUGUUUAAGGUGGUUUUCGAUUGGAUAUGGUUAAAAUAACCAAUAAUCAUAUAAUUUAAUAAAUUUAUGUUCGCGGGCAAAGCACUUUCCUUUCCACACAGUUGCGUAGAAGAUUAAAAGAAAGCCUCAGAAAAUUUCCGAGAUCGAGAAAAAUAGACAUAUGUCUGAUACUAAUAAGUCAGAGUCUCAGGAUUGGGAAGAGUUUGACUCGGAGUCCGACAUUGAGCGGUCGGAGUCUGACAGUCAGCGUGUAUCACCGCAGCCAAGUCAAUUUACACAGGACCUGGCAGCAAUAGCUGAAAAGUUGAAGCUUCCGCAUCAGAGUACCGCAAGAAGCUGCCGUUUGUGAAUGCGGCCCCGAUAGAGGAGAUUGAGGCAAAGAAGCUGAAGCCAGCGGGAGGAAAACUGAAGAAAUCAGGAAGAAAUCGCUAUAGGCGAUUACUGAAUAUAAGAGUUUUUAAACCAUUGGAUAGGUUUGUUGGUCACCUAUCUUAGGAAAAAUACUUACAGAUACAUUGAAGUUCAAAUAACUAGUGUUAGGUCUUAUUUGAAUAAGAAGAAUUUUGGUUUUUGAACCUAUUUAAUGACGCAAAUGAUUUUACUUUUGUUAAACAUGUAUGACAGCGAACUAUUGUCUUCAUGUUUACCUUAUUUAAGUAUAGGCUGAUGUUUUUGUGGUGUAUUUAUAAUUUGAGGACUUAUUUUACCUAAUGGACUAUUUAUUUUAAUUUAGUGAACAACAUUUAAAACUUGUCAAAACUAUU